CCUGCCUGUUCUCCUGAAGACGGACUCCUGCCCCGUGCGGCUGUUAGCUCCUGCCUGUACGCAGGGGAAGAGAACUCCAAACACAGCAAGCACUCUGCGACUCCUCUUCGCCUCCCUUUGUAUCCACGCCCUAAGGAGGAGAUAUGUUGGCAUAUCACAGCAACAAGAAAAGAAAAUGGUCCCCAAAGGGAGCAGCACUAUUCUGAGCUCAAGAUAAAUUAACACCCAGAUCCUUCUCUAGCACCAUGUCGCCUGCAUGUGCCAUGUCCCACAGUGAAGAUAAUGGACUAAAGCUCUGAAACGAGUAAGAACUUCAUUCCAUUCCGCUAGCUCUGCAUACUACAGCAGACUCACCGUAGCUGCCUGUCUUCUCACUGAGGAACCACGAAGAGAGCUGAGGGAUGUCCAUACCUUCCAGGACUUUGCUCAGGCCUGCUGUAUCUAUUAUAGGACCCUUGUGUCUGGAACGUUCUGCAUCUAUCAUUCUGUCUACUGAGAGACACCCAAAGAUGGCCCUUCUUGAUAGCUCCCUUCAUCUGGUUAUCUUCUAGAUAUUUCCACUCAGUUUCUGUCCAAACCACAAAGCCUCAAUUCCCCUUCUGAGUACUCUUGAUGGGGAAACUGUGCUGAAGACAUCUGAAGACCCCAAUCCACCGCUGAACCACAAGCUGCGGGGCACUGGACUUCACAGGAGGAAGGGCAAGUACUCACUCUCAACAGGAAUGAGAGUGCCCAGGAACCUCACACAAGAUUGCCCCACAACACUCCAGCAGGGGCUG